CGCGGCCUAUCAGCUUGUUGGUGAGGUAACGGCUCACCAAGGCGACGACGGGUAGCUGGUCUGAGAGGACGAUCAGCCACACUGGGACUGAGACACGGCCCAGACUCCUACGGGAGGCAGCAGUGGGGAAUCUUGCGCAAUGGGCGAAAGCCUGACGCAGCAACGCCGCGUGCGGGAUGAAGGCCUUCGGGUUGUAAACCGCUUUCAGUGGGGACGAAUUCAGACGGUACCCACAGAAGAAGCCCCGGCCAACUACGUGCCAGCAGCCGCGGUAACACGUAGGGGGCGAGCGUUGUCCGGAAUCAUUGGGCGUAAAGAGCUCGUAGGCGGCUCAGUAAGUCGGGUGUGAAACCCCCAGGCUCAACCUGGGGACGCCACCCGAUACUGCUGUGGCUAGAGUCCAGUAGGGGAGUGUGGAAUUCCCGGUGUAGCGGUGAAAUGCGCAGAUAUCGGGAGGAACACCAGCGGCGAAGGCGGCACUCUGGGCUGGAACUGACGCUGAGGAGCGAAAGCGUGGGUAGCAAACAGGAUUAGAUACCCUGGUAGUCCACGCCGUAAACGUUGGGCACUAGGUGUGGGGACCCUCCAACGGUCUCCGUGCCGUAGCUAACGCAUUAAGUGCCCCGCCUGGGGAGUACGG
rnacentral:rRNA from 1 species